AAAAACACUCUUCUUCUUCCCCAACCCACCCCCAUUGGUCGGAUUCAUCCACCACCGCACCAUCUCCGCCGUGGCGCUUCUUUGUCCGCCGCGCACCCAAGCUUCACUUCAACGAGCUAACUACAGGAUCUGAAAUCUCUCAAGACGAGAAGUCUAAUUGUGGUGGUCUCGCUUUAAAACGACGCCGGAGUUGGCUGGAAACUCCAGUUGCAUGUAUGUGGAAGUUUGCCCAGAUCUAGGAACCGUGGUGGAGAUCUUUGGUGUUUUGCUGCCCAGAAAUGCUUCAAAGCCAUCAGGUAAGCCAUCUCCAUGGUUCUACAGUGGUCGGAGUACCGAUUGUGCUGAGAACGCCGCUGGUGUUGCUGUACAACCGCUGGCGGAUGUGCGGUGCGUUGGGGUUGUGGCUGUACAACGCAGUGGCUGGAUGAACUGCAGUUAGAGACCCAGCAAAACCCAGAAGAAUAGACACAAACCCAGUUUUGAUGAAUCUGGUUAAUUGGAAAUGGGGAUGGAGAAAGUGAAGAGCUUUGUGACAGAAGAUGAAGAAGAAGAUAGGGUUGGAAGAGAAAGGUUGAAGUUGAAGAUUAGAAGAGUGAGAGUUGGUAAAUGUCAUACCCAUUAUUCAGUUCCAAUUAAUCUGCAGAUCUGGAAAACUUGAAGGUUAGAAGAGUGAGUGUUGAUGAUGGUGGAAGGAGAAAGAUGGAAAAAUUUGAGCAAUGAAGGUUAAUUUUGUCUUAUCACUCAUAUAGGAAAACUGAAGCACCGAAACUGACACACGGGACAACAAAGUUAAAACUCUAGAAAAUUAAAACGUUUGAGCACUGAGCAGCGCUGCAACAUUGGGAUCAAGCCAACAUUGCAAUAUUGCUAAUUUUACCCAAUUAAUGAGGAUUAGCACAUAUUUUGAGGUAACACAAAAUUGCUGAGGUUUUGGAAAGAGGAAUGUUGUUGAGAGCUCUGCUAGUGUUUUGGAGAUCUUCUUAUUCCAAACCAUGAGCACUUUGAGUUUUCUUGUUCAUGUUUUCUUCUUAUGCUUCUUAUGAUAUAGGUUUGGUUAUUACUAUGUUCCGAUACUUUUCAGAUUAAUAUAUGAGCUUCUCUUUUAUCUA